GAAGUCACGCUCCAGCCUCCGAGCUGCUCGGAAGCUGCCGCGAGGGAAGGCAGUGGCGCGUGGACCCGCGAACUGACCAGAAUAGCCCUAGAAUGGGACCAAGAGACGGCUGUAGCUGUCGUUUAGUGAGAUGACACCGGGCUUACGUUGAAUUUUCUGUGGACUGAAUUCGAUCUUCCGCCUGCAAGAGCCAGCGUCGAUCGAGGCUACUUCAGGUCUCCGCCGGGUGUCACUAUCAGGAAACCCAGGCCCAGAUGUUUCUGAGAGCUCUGCCAAAAGGAGGGCGAAGUAAGCCCCUAGAUGGGCAAACUCGUAAUUUCAACUCCCACUUCUCUCCUUUCCCCAUCUCUCUCCGCUCUCCUUUCUCCUCUGUCUCUCAGUUUCACUGUGCACCCCAGGCUGGCCUGUGUCUAUCUCGCUGCAAUCCUCCCUCCUCAGCCUACUGCUGGGAUAACUGGCAACUAGUUCAAUUGGUGCCUCUGUUUCCCCAAAUCUUACUGAAAAUAGUGACCAGAUCUGUGGAAUGCUAUCCAGCUCUUCCAACAAAUACCAUGAUACCACCCUAAGGGCCCCAAAAGCACACACACAGCCACCGGAAACAGAACUUAGUUUCGGGUCUGGGCCAACGCCCUAUACACUUGCAUCUCAGCCACCCGUCCCAUAUCUAGCCUGUCCCCGGACUUCGAAGAGAGGCUAAUAACAGUAUGCAUGUCUCAGGAUCUACGGCCGGAGGAGCGCCCAGGAACCCGCGGGCGUAUGUCAGCGAGCCUGCACCGGGCGCUGGGCAGCCCUGGGUCCUGGGCCAGGCCAGCUUUGGCGGCGGGGAGGCGGACCUUUUGAUCCCCUCCGCAGAAGGUCCCCGGUUCGGCUGCACCCCGCUGAAGCCGCUGGGAAGCUAGAUGUAAAGAGUUAGCGCGGUGGCCGCCUCCCCCACUUCCUGCGGGGUCCCCCGCCGCGGCCCCAUUGCACAAUCCCUGCCGUGCAAUCGCCCCGUGACUCGCACCCAGCCUGAAAUGGUUCCCAGGUUUCCAAGCCUAGCAAAGAACCGCGGCGUCCCCGCCCCGACC
rnacentral:lncRNA from 1 species